UGAGGUAAUGGCUCACCAAGACGACGAUCAGUAGCUGGUCUGAGAGGAUGACCAGCCACAUUGGGACUGAGACACGGCCCAGACUCCUACGGGAGGCAGCAGUGGGGAAUCUUGCACAAUGGAGGAAACUCUGAUGCAGCGAUGCCGCGUGAGUGAAGAAGGCCUUUGGGUUGUAAAGCUCUUUUGUAGGGGAAGAUAAUGACUGUACCCUAAGAAUAAGGUCCGGCUAACUUCGUGCCAGCAGCCGCGGUAAUACGAAGGGACCUAGCGUAGUUCGGAAUUACUGGGCGUAAAGCGCGCGUAGGCCGUUGAGUUAGUUAAUUGUGAAAUCCCAAAGCUUAACUUUGGAACUGCAAUUAAAACUGCUCGACUAGAGUUUGAUAGAGGAAAGCGGAAUACAUAGUGUAGAGGUGAAAUUCGUAGAUAUUAUGUAGAACACCAGUUGCGAAGGCGGCUUUCUGGACCAACACUGACGCUGAGGCGCGAAAGUAUGGGUAGCAAAGAGGAUUAGAUACCCUCGUAGUCCGUACCAUAAACGAUGAUUGCUAGAUGUUGGAAAUUUAUUUUCAGUAUCGCAGCUAACGCAUUAAGCAAUCCGCCUGGGGAGUACGGUCGCAAGAUUAAAACUCAAAGGAAUUGACGG
rnacentral:rRNA from 1 species